rnacentral:sRNA from 1 species
GAACCCUGAAGUCUAUAGGUAGAGAAAAUUGUAAUUGUUGUAGGUAAAUUUCACAUUUUUCACUAUGAUUUAUUUUUUCUUUUUCUUUUUAAUUUUCCUAUAGCACUCUUUCCAUUUCUUACCCCAGUUUUUGAAGCCCUAAAUAUCGGUUUGUUUCCAAAAGAUGUUACCCGUUUUUUAAAAAAUUCCAUUGAAAGGAUGAAAGAAAGUCGCCUCAAAGAUAAACAAAAGCACCGAGUAGAUUUCUUCCAACAGAUGAUUGACUCCCAGAAUUCCAAAGAAACAAAGUCCCAUAAAGCUCUGUCUGAUCUGGAGCUUGUGGCCCAGUCAAUUAUCAUCACUUUUGCUGCCUAUGACACAACUAGCACCACUCUCCCCUUCAUUAUGUAUGAACUGGCCACUCACCCUGAUGUCCAGCAGAAACUGCAGGAGGAGAUUGACGCAGUUUUACCCAAUAAGGCACCUGUCACCUAUGAUGCCCUGGUACAGAUGGAAUACCUUGACAUGGUGGUGAAUGAAACGCUCAGAUUAUUCCCAGUUGUUAGUAGAGUUACGACAGUCUGCAAGAAAGAUAUUGAAAUCAAUGGAGUCUUAAUUCCCAAAGGGUUAGCAGUGAUGGUUCCAAUCUAUGCUCUUCACCAUGACCCAAAGUACUGGACAGAGCCUGAGAAGUUCUGCCCUGAAAGG